rnacentral:tRNA from 1 species
AAAAGUAGAGUUUGUAUUAAACAUUUCAUUUACACUGAAGGGAAAUCUGGUUAUGUCAGAUUACUUUUA